AUUGAACGCUGGCGGCAUGCUUUACACAUGCAAGUCGAACGGUAACAGGCCGCAAGGUGCUGACGAGUGGCGAACGGGUGAGUAAUGCAUCGGAACGUGCCCAGUCGUGGGGGAUAACGCAGCGAAAGCUGCGCUAAUACCGCAUACGAUCUAUGGAUGAAAGCGGGGGACCGUAAGGCCUCGCGCGAUUGGAGCGGCCGAUGUCAGAUUAGGUAGUUGGUGGGGUAAAGGCUCACCAAGCCAACGAUCUGUAGCUGGUCUGAGAGGACGACCAGCCACACUGGGACUGAGACACGGCCCAGACUCCUACGGGAGGCAGCAGUGGGGAAUUUUGGACAAUGGGCGCAAGCCUGAUCCAGCAAUGCCGCGUGCAGGAAGAAGGCCUUCGGGUUGUAAACUGCUUUUGUACGGAACGAAACGGCUCUGGUUAAUACCUGGGGCUAAUGACGGUACCGUAAGAAUAAGCACCGGCUAACUACGUGCCAGCAGCCGCCGUAA
rnacentral:rRNA from 1 species